UCUUAUUAACGCAGGUGAGAUUACCUUGAUGAAUGGAGGCGGUUGGUGUGUUCACUGGGCUCAAAGUACAUGACUGCUGGAGAUGAUGCUGCUUUUGGAAUGAUAGGUUGGGCUGAGAGUUUCAUGCAAUCAUUGUUUCCCAGGUGGUUGUAGCUAACAGAUAAUUUGGCACCCACCAGCCAAUCAAUUUCAUCACAAUCAGAAACCAUCUUUUUCCAUAAAGUGCUUAUAACGAUCAAAACUAUAUAUAUACCUGAUUCCAGCCCUUACAAGAAAAUAAACCAUAACAGACUUCAUCUUUGUCUUGCCAAUCUUCAAUUCUUCAUCUCUUCUACUGUUGCUCCGAAUGGCGAAAACAAUAAGCGCUGCAAACAAAAACGAAGUUAAACAAAAGAAAGGCACAAUCUUUUGCUUGUCUAAAAAACUUCAACCGAACAACAAAGCAAAGAGCAAGGUUAUCAAAUUUAAGAACCUAAAAUCUCAGCCUCCUUAAUUUUCUCCAAAGAAGCAAGAAGGUUCACCAUUGUACCUUCUCCAUCAUAAGAUCCAACUCUAUUUAAUGAUUCUUUAGUGAGCCAAAAAAUUGGCUUGUUGCACUUUGUCCUUUGUGGCACAGGAGAUUCAUCUGAGAACAAAAAUUAAAUCAAUAAAGUGACUCGCACUUGAUUAAGAUUUAAUCAAAAAAUUUAAUAAGAAACUCUUGAUUGCUAUGAAGCCAACAGUGAGAGUUCACUGUUCCUACGCCACCCCACAGGCAUACUCUAAAAAUAAGCCAAAAAAAAAAAUCCGAAGAAAUUCUGAUUUCCAAAUUGACCGACCAAAGUUAAAAAAUGAAAAGAAUAAGAAUCUACAGAGCAGUACAAACCAAUUCAAUUUAAGAUGAACAAUCUACAGAACCAUGAGAUUUGUGGAAUCAUUUGAAUCCUCUUCAACACUAUCCUACCGACUUUAUUUCAGACGACAAUCAGAACAUGCUUUAACAUUCCUAAAUCUAACUUUCGAGCCAAUAAGGUUGACUAAUAAUUCAGAAUAUGGAUAAUAUAGAAACUUGAAUAGAACUCCUCCCAUAUCAUUCAAUCCUGUCUCAGGUAUGUAGUAUUCCCAAUAGCACAGAGUGUAACUAAUUAAAGGUAAUUGCUGGCUUGCUGUAUCCUCUUUGGCCUAACCUUUCUUGUUUUAUAGAAAAAUUAUAUGAAUUUUGAAUCUAGACAAACUUGCCUCUAAAUAUUCUACUUUGAGUGCAGACGAUGUUUUAUCUUAGUAUUUGCAGCAAAACUUAAAUAAUUUAAGGUCAAGUAGUUGCUUUGAUUAAAGAUUAAAAUAUGGUCAAAGCGAUAGGUAAGUCAAAAGUGAAAUUAAAAAAGAUUAAAAAGUGUUGCAUAUACUUGACCAAAUAAUAUAUGUGAUACAGAAUUAGAUGCAAUAUAUUUUCUACAUACAAAUAAGAAAAAAGAAGAAAGAAAAGAAAUUAACUGAGAUUGAUGGGAACCACAGCCAUUUUCUUGUGAUGAAUAUAUUACAGAUGAAAAUUUCUGCUUAUACCAGCAGAAGUGUUGCAAAAACUGAUAGCGGUAAAGUCAUGAAAUAUUAAUAUGAAUAUACCAUUAAUUUCUCCAAAAUGAAUUUUACUUGCAUCGUACUAGUUAUAGAGGAAAUCCUAAAGUACUUAUCCACUGAAAAAGAAAUAAUCGGUGUGAUUAUAGGAUUCAAACAAUUAAAUUCAUCAAGUAAAAAAGUUAAAGAAGAGAAGAAAAUACCUGUCAGUCAAUGGUAAUUAAUUGCUGCUGUUACUGAAUUCAAUGACGGUCUAUUUGGACAUAGCGACUAUCAAUUAUGACGGUAGGAAUGCAAGAGAUCUUUGACCGAUCAUCCCCUGCAGCCUCUUUGAAACUUUUUUCUAAAAUAGGACAAUCAUUAAUCUCCAAUUUCUUCAGUGUUGUGCUCCGAAGAACUUGGUCAGGCAACAUUUUCAAUUUGCUACAAUCUCUAAUAGCCAAAGAAUUUAGUUGAGGCAUGAUUGUAAUAUUUUCUUCUAUAAACUCCCAUUCUUCCCAUCCAUCUAAACUCCAAAGUGUGAAUUUCUUCAGUCUAGGAAAGGCAAUAACUGAAGAUGAAGAUGAAGAUGAAGAUGGAGAUGGAGAUAGAGAUGGAGAUGUGCCAUGCAUAUGAUCACUUUCUAUCCCCAAAACUUCAUCGCCCACUCUUUUUAUACCAUGCAUUUCCCAUAUAUCAAGAACUUCAAGGGAUUGCAAUUUUCCUAAAGGAGGCAUAAUCUCACACUUUUUGCAGAAUGAGAGACAUAACAUCCUCAGCUUGUUUAAUGACAGUAUCCAGUUGGGGAACCUAGCCUUGACUUCAUAGAAAGAUAUUUGUAAUGACUCUAGAUUUGGAUGCGGUCUUAAGGCUUCAAUAAUUGCUUGAUGGUUUACUUCGUCUUCAUCUUCUUCCUCUUCCUUGUCAAAUUCUAAUUCCAAAGAAAUGAGGUUCUUCUUUUUCUCAAGCUCUGCAUUUUUGGCCCCAUCAACAUCUGUCACAUUCCCUAACCCUCGAAUCUUAAGAGACCCUCGGAGAUGAUUCAUGUGUCUCAAACCAUCAAGAUUACAUGCUUUACUACCAUAUUUGCCACCACCACUCACAGCAACAAACUCACUUAAUGUCCUAAGACCCGUUAAACUCCCCAUUCCUUUUGGCAUGUACUCUAAAUCAUCCUCAUCAAAUAUUAAAUGCCUCAAAUUAACUAACUUUCCUAUGUUUUGAGGUAAUCUUUUAAACUUGCUGCAUCUUCUGAGGUCUAAGUUUUGCAAAUUAAAUAACUCGCAGCAUGUCUCAGGCAAUUCUUCUAUUCCUACAAAAAACAAUUUCAGGUAUCUUAAAUGUAUCAACUUUUCAAUCCCAUUUGGUAUUCUCUCAAUUGCAUCAUCCCCAUACUUCCCAAUUCUUAAUGCCCUUAAGCAAGUCAGUUGAUCAAAAAAACUUGGCAUGUGCUGCAGUGAAUAGCCUUGAAUUAAAAGGCUACGUAACUUUUUGGCAUUAAAUAUUGAAACAGGAAAUGAAGCAUUGUAGUGAAGCACCAAAAUUGAAUGACGGAGUUUCUCAUAACAAAUAUUUCUCAACAACGGCGGCUCGCCAACACUGCCAACUUCCAUUGCAGCACAUUCCACUUUAGUGAGAAGUUGUGCAAAACCAUGCACUAUAUCAUGCAUUUUAUAUCUUUUAACAUUACCUUCUUCAUCUUUCUCAAACUCCUGGAAGAAAGAUCUCUUGGCUAACAAGUCAAAAUACCUUUCACCAACCAUCUCCAUCUCCAUCUCCAUCUCUUUAUUACCUUUCUGAUCAAUAUAACCUUGAGCCAUCCAUAAUUUAAUCAAUUCAUCCCUGUCCACAUAGCAUUCUUUUGGCAAUACGGCACAGUAGGAGAAACAUCGUUUAAUCUCAUUGGGCAAAUCGUUAUAACUCAAUAGGAGAGCAGGUAAAAGAUUUUUUUCAAACUCUUCUACCUGCCAAAUCUCACUAUCUAAGAUACUUUGCCACUCUUCUCUAGCUUUUUUAAACCGCAACAGACUCCCGAUGGUUUUAACCGCAAGUGGCAAGCCUUUGCACUUCCAUGUAAUCUUUCUACCAAUUUCUUCUAAUUGUUUGCAAUCUGAACGAGAUCUAUUGAGAAAAGCAAAUCGCUUAAAUAGCGACCAACAUUCUGUUGGGGAAAAAUUAGGUUUUUAAAAUUUUUAUAAAACCUUUUGAAGAUCGCUCUCAUAUAAUAUAUAAGAAUUCGUAUUCUAGAAAUCGUACCUUGAAAAUCCGAGUUGGCUUUUUCCGCUGAAGUGAUUUAGGCUCCUAGAUCACGAUCUGCCACCACCACUCCUGUUAGAUCACGAUCCGUCGCCACCACGCUUGCUAGAUCACGAACUGUCACCAAUGAUCUUCCAGGUUAUGACUCAGGUUCGAUCUGCACUUGACGUGUGGGCGCCUUUAUCACUACCAAAGCAACUAGCACGAGAAAAUUUUUCUCUCAAUAAAUAGAGAGAAAAAUCUUUUUCUCUGAUCUGUAUAAAGUGGCUUCUUUCUAAAUUCACACUCGUCACUAAUAUCAAUAUAUAAAGUGGGUGUAACAUAACUCAAAACUAAAGAUAAUACAAAUACUAAAAUUUAGAGAUAAUGCAAAUACUAAAAUUUAGAAAUUAUCAUGUCAUCCAAUAUCAAAAUAUCACAUAAAAUGCCUUAAAUUUUAUUAUUUUUAUUUUUAUUAUUUUUUAACUAAACUGCAAGACUAGGAAGAUGUGUUUCUAGAGUAACUAAACUCUAUAUUUGGCCAUCUUCAACUCAAAAAUUUAGAAAAGGUUAUUCCACAAGUACAAGAAAACAACUAUCAGUUAUUCUGCAACUAUCAACUAUUAUCUCUCCCCAACUAGAAUGAGACAUUGUCCUCAAUAUCUAAAAAGAAAAAAUGUAGAUUUUAGAAGAUAUCACCUGAAUGCUGCAACAUAAGAAAAUAUGUACAAAUGGAAGGUUAAAUCUAAUUUGCACCUCUUAAUACUACUACUGCUAUCAUCAUUAGUUGACCAAUCCAACGCAAAGGUCCUAAGAUCUGAUUCUAGUAUGUAAGUUUGUAAAAGAUCUAGUAACUUGUUAGUAGUAGAAGCAUAAAUAAAGAGCUGCUGUACCGUACAUCCGCCUUGGCCGUACAGCAGUGAGAUUUAAUAAGUCUGACAGUUAUUACAAAGUUAAUUAAAUCUCGUAUGUGAUCUUGUUCAAUGUAGUUGUACUACAUCAAUAAAUUCAUACAUGAUUAAGACAAAUCAUUCAAUGAAUUUAUUAUAGUCUAUACCUAAAUAAAGUGCCCAACUUUAUUUAUCAACUGUGAACUAAAUUUAUUUAAUCAUAAGAUAACUUGUAUUUAUGUCUUCUGUGAAUCCACAUGGUGAUCACAUAAAUACAUAUAAUAUGAUCUGCUGUACGGCCAAGGCGGUAUUAAUGCAAUUAAGAUAUUUGAAUAAAAUACCUCAUUUAUUUUAUUAAUCAGAAAAAUUGUUUAUUACAAUUAAAUAAACACAUAUGCUUUUAAAGAGCAUAUUUUCCCAACAAUCUCCCACUAGCUCUCAAAGCAUAUCUGGCAUAUUGCACAUGCUCUAGGACUCUAAGUGCAGGUUAUAAAGGUUUCCCACUAAUGGCCAUUGUAAUAAGAUCUGCCAUUUAGCAUCUAAUGCCAUUUGGGGUACUGUCAUAUAACCUUUCUACACUAUUCCCUUAUAAGAUGAUACUUCCUUUCAAUAUGUUUUGUUUCUUGUGGUUCCUUGGUUCCUUAGAUUGAGCUACCGCACCACCAUUAUCACAUAAAUAGUUUAAGGGGUGCAGUUACAACAGGUACCACCUCAAGAUUUCUUAGGAACUUGCGAAGCCAUAUAGCUUCUUUUGCAGCUUCAGAUGUAGCCACAUAUUCAGCUUUAGUUGCUGAGUCUGUGAUACAAGAUUGUUUCACACUGAUCCAACUAAUAGCUCCACUUCCCAAUGUAAACACAUAGCCGGAAGUUGAUUUUCUGCCUUGGCCGUACAGCAGUAGUUCUUUUCAGAUACUUUAUAAUAUGCUUGACUGCAGUCCAGUAUUGAGGUCCAGGAUUAAAUUGAUAUCUGCUAACCAUCCCUACCGCAAAACAGAUGUCUAGCCUAGUGCAAAGCAUGGCAUACACGAGACUUCCCACAGCACCUGGCAGUAUUCCACUCAUCCAAUACAUCUUCAGUGUCGUAGGAUGCGUGUUUGAGCUUGUCUAAAGAAAUUUCAGAAAUAUGUUUUCACUACAACUGUUAGAUGCAUGAAUAAAACAGAGGACGAUACAACAUCAGAUUUGACCACUGAUUGAAUUGCUGUUCAUAUGACUGCAGUUAAAAAAAAAAAAAAACAUCGAUGAAUACCAAAACACAAGUCACUGUCGUUAAUAUUUCUCUUAUUAACGCAGGUGAGAUUACCUUGAUGAAUGGAGGCGGUUGGUGUGUUCACUGGGCUCAAAGUACAUGACUGCUGGAGAUGAUGCUGCUUUUGGAAUGAUAGGUUGGGCUGAGAGUUUCAUGCAAUCAUUGUUUCCCAGGUGGUUGUAGCUAACAGAUAAUUUGGCACCCACCAGCCAAUCAAUUUCAUCACAAUCAGAAACCAUCUUUUUCCAUAAAGUGCUUAUAACGAUCAAAACUAUAUAUAUACCUGAUUCCAGCCCUUACAAGAAAAUAAACCAUA
rnacentral:lncRNA from 1 species